rnacentral:rRNA from 1 species
AUUGAACGCUGGCGGCAUGCUUUACACAUGCAAGUCGAACGGUAACAGGCCGCAAGGUGCUGACGAGUGGCGAACGGGUGAGUAAUGCAUCGGAACGUGCCCAGUCGUGGGGGAUAACGCAGCGAAAGCUGUGCUAAUACCGCAUACGAUCUAUGGAUGAAAGCGGGGGACCGUAAGGCCUCGCGCGAUUGGAGCGGCCGAUGUCAGAUUAGGUAAUUGGUGGGGUAAAGGCCCACCAAGCCGACGAUCUGUAGCUGGUCUGAGAGGACGACCAGCCACACUGGGACUGAGACACGGCCCAGACUCCUACGGGAGGCAGCAGUGGGGAAUUUUGGACAAUGGGCGAAAGCCUGAUCCAGCCAUGCCGCGUGCAGGAUGAAGGCCUUCGGGUUGUAAACUGCUUUUGUACGGAACGAAAAGGACUGCCCUAAUACGGUGGUCCCAUGACGGUACCGUAAGAAUAAGCACCGGCUAACUACGUGCCAGCCGCCGCCGUAAAAC